GUAGAGUAGCCUUGUUGCUACGAUCCACUGAGGUUAAGCCCUUGUUGUAAAGAUUUGU
rnacentral:rRNA from 1 species